rnacentral:tRNA from 1 species
GGAUCGUGGCUCAGUGGUAGAGCACUUGCCUAGUAGGUGUCAGUCGCUGGGUUCAAUCCUCAGCACCA